CCUAAUUCUAGCAAGAACAAGAUUUAAUCAUCACCAAGAUUAACACCAGAAAUUAAACGAAAUCAAGACCAAUCAAUGGGGAUUAAUCAUGGGUUAACAAGAUAAUUAAGAAACUAAAUAUGAACAAUGGGCCUGGGAUGUAAGGUAAUAAUGGAGGGUGUGUAGAUAAAGAGUAUUUUCUUGGGCCAAAGGCCCAAGUUCCAUUAAAAAAUCCAAGAAAUGCCUUCACGGAAGAGAGCCAAAACGUGCCUCAGAUUCAUCUCAAGAAACUCGUGAACUCACGCUCGAGGACGAAGCUUCAUGGACGACGGAGAUCAACGGAGAACGAAAUCGACGCGCCACCAUCGUGAACGCAGGUUCAACGUUGCUCUAAGAAUCAAGAACAUAUUUCGAAACCUCUUCCGAACUCAACAUCGGAUCGCAAUCAACCACGACGGAGGUCGCUUAACAAUUUGCUCUUGCGCGUAGGACUGGAAAGGGACGGAUUGUGGCCGGAAUUUGGUCAUUGAAAGGAGAAACCUUACCGUCACUGAUUCUUCGACGCGGCGAUUUCUGAUCUUCUUCUUGCGUUGAGCUUCCGUCUUCGUCAUGGAAUAGCGUUGCGUCACUCUUUUCCGGUGAAUUCAGUUGGAAGAAGUGGGCAUCGAGUUCGGUUAUCGAGGAUCGGUUUUGUUAAUUCUGUUACAGGCCUUGAAGUAUUGGUGGGUGAUUAAAGGUUAGGAGAGGUAGGAUUUUUGGUUUGUCGGUUGAGAGGUAGUUAGCGUUCUGUUGAGAAUUGGUUACCGUCGGUUAGGAAUCGGUCCCCCUUCUGCUACCGUUAUCAAGUUUGUUGGAAUAUAAGGAGGUUAGGUUAGGUGUUGUAUUUUCUGUUUGCGAAGUUGUUUCGGUUAGAAGUUGAGGGAAGUUAGAAUCCGGUUUUGAUUUUGAACCGGAUUCUGUUUUGAUUGUUGCGAGUCUGUUAUAGUUUCUUUUUCGGUUAUUUCUGUUAUGGAUUUGGAGUCUGUUAUAGGUUUUUGUUGACAGUUGCAGGGUUAUUAUUCAGUUGGAAAGAGUUGGUCCAGUUUGUGACAGUUGAGUUUUCGUUAUAUCGAUUCCCGUUUUUGAUCUCCUUUGUUGGUUGUUUUUUUUUGUGAAUUUAUGCAGGUUCUUGUUUGGUAGUUUUUUGAGGUCAGUUAGAAGUUUGAAGGGUGAUUGCCGGUUUUUUGGGUCAGUGCCGUUAUGCCGAUUUCAUUCUGGUUUUGCAGGAUUUUCUUAUCAAGUAUUGGAGGGAGUUUUUUCUUUUGAAUAAUGCAUAUAAUCUCUUAACCUUAAUGUAAUUGGUCAUCCUCCCGGCGAGCCCGAAGAACAUUCUGCCAAAGGAUAUCUAGACAAACCAGGUACCGAUGAAUGUUUUGAUUUUGCAAAGUUGAUAACUUCUUCCCAUAUGGGACGACAUCCAUUCAUGAGAAGUUGUGGAUUCUGGACAUUGAAUCAACUAAGUGAGCAACCAGGACAUUGAUAAGUUGAUAAAUCUCUUUAGAUCUUUGACUCCAACAAUCCCGGGACUUCUGCUUACAUCAUCCAAAGCCCAGUAUGGCCUUAUCAUGAAGAUUUCAACUCCUUUGUUACACAUAGCUUUAGAAACUUCACCAUGGCGAGGAUUAAUUGUGAGAAGUAUGCAUAAUAUUUGGGGUGGGUGGAUAACCAAUGAACUUUCUUCAACAAUUACCGUGAUUGAUCGACUAGGCUCAACUAAAGAAUUAAUCCUAUCAAGAACCGUGGGACUACAUAAAUUUGCAUUCUCCAAUGCCAUCCAUUUCCUUCUGUCUAUAUAGCCUUGAUCAGUAAUCAUGUAACCUAUUCAAAUUUGUGGAAGCUAACCUUUUUGAUCAUCUGCUUUGAAUUUCCAAAUUGUAUGCAAUUUAUGAUGUAAUUACAAAAUGAAUGAACAUUUGUAUAGAAUGAUUUUUUAUGGACAUUCAACCAAAAUUUCCCACCAAA